rnacentral:tRNA from 1 species
GGCAUGGCACAGAUGGUAGCGCGUCGCAUUGGUAAUGCGGAGGUCACGGGUUCGAUUCCCGUUGCU